ACGUUCGGGUAAUCGCUGCAAUGAGCGUAUGCAAAUUGUAGAGGAAAGUCCAUGCUCGCACAAGCUGAGAUGCUUGUAGUGUUCGUGCCUAGCGAAUCCAUAAGCUAGGGCAGCUGGUUAAUCCAGCUGACGGCUGGGAAAGUACCUAAGUCCUUUUGGAUAUGGUAUGAUUACCUAUAAAAGUGCCACAGUGACGAUGCCUUCUUAGAAAUGAGAAGGGUGGAACGGGUAAACCCCACGAGCGAGAAACCCAAAUUAUGGUAGGGGCACCUUCUCUGAGGAAAUGAACGAGGAGAAGGACAGAUUCGCUUGAAUCUGUAGAUAGAUGAUUACCGCCUUCGUACGAGGCUGAAAUGCCGCUUGAAGUACUUAGGAACAGAACAUGGCUUAUAGAA
rnacentral:RNase_P_RNA from 1 species